UACGGGGGGAGCAAGCGUUGUUCGGAUUUACUGGGCGUAAAGGGCGCGUAGGCGGCCACUGCAAGUCGGUUGUGAAAUCUCCGGGCUUAACCCGGAAAGGUCAAUCGAUACUGCUGUGCUAGAGUGCGGAAGGGGCAACUGGAAUUCUCGGUGUAGCGGUGAAAUGCGUAGAUAUCGAGAGGAACACCUGCGGCGAAGGCGGGUUGCUGGGCCGACACUGACGCUGAGGCGCGAAAGCUAGGGGAGCGAACGGG
rnacentral:rRNA from 1 species